AUUAAAAAACCCUGCAAAUAAAAAGAAACAGAAACGCCGUGCAAAUAAAAACGCCGUGAUGCAAAUAAAAAAGCCACAACGGAAGUGAAUUACCGGGGACUAUUAUUGCUGAUGCACAUGCGGUUUUUUAUGCGAGAGAAGAAGAAGUCUGGGGGAUCUCCAGGAAACAUCUCUUGGAUUCAGAAUUCACCCUCAGUGGAGAUCCUUCAGGACUUGAUGAUACGGAACAGUGCCAUGUUGCAGACUGCUGGGUGCUUCAGACAUGUCAGGUCAUGUGAAGAAAAAAAAUGAUUGUAGAGGAUUACCUGAAGUGGUACAUAAUCCACAGGAACAACACUGCAAUCGAAAGAUUCAAGGCUGGACUUGAAAGUUUGCAGUUUCUGACAGCUCUGCAGCAGCAUCCGACGGUUCUGACCCCUGCUCUCUGUCAUGCCGAUGUGAAGCUGUCUGCUGCAGAGAUGGAAAAUCUGUUCCAGCCUGAAUUUAGUCAACAGGGAAGCAACAGAAGGGCUCAGGAAGAGAAAGCUAUGAGUUACUGGGCAGACUAUCUUCUCGAUUGUGAAGAAAAUGACAGCUCAGUGACCUUGGAGGAGGUGUUAAUGUUCGCUACAGGUGUGCCAUGUGUGCCUCCUGCUGGUAUGAGUCCUCUGCCACGCCUUCAAUUCCUAUGUUCUACAACGUCAACAUUCCCAAUGGCAAAUACCUGUGCCAACAUUUUAAAGCUUCCUCUUUUGGACACUUAUGGUGCCUUCAAAGCCAACAUGAACUUUGGCAUUAAUAAUUCCCCCGGCUUUGGGUGCCUUUAAACAAUUAAAUAACUUGUGGUAAAAGUUAAUGUUGCCACACACAGUCCGUUGUUUUAAUGUUGCGGUCUGUCCGACCAAAAUGUUGUGACGUAAGAGAGAUGAGUAUUUUUCAUGGCAGAUUUGUCCUAUUUCAUAUCUAACAUGUGAACAACACCACACAUUUGUAUUGUAUUGUUAUUGUAUUCUCGUUAGGUAGGUAAGGUAGACCGUGGUUAAAUCAAGAGUUCAGAACAUGUGUUAAGAUGUUUUACAAAUAUUUACAUAAACAGUAAAUAAAGACUGCAAAAGGCACCUUGUCGUGCAAAUGUGCCAAUUUUGUUUUGGCCAUUUGAUCAUGUUUUUACAUGGACUUUGUGAAAGAGUAAAGCUGAAUGACUCUUCAUUAAA